rnacentral:tRNA from 1 species
GUGGGUAUAGCUCAGUGGUAGAGCACAUGCUUAGCAUGCACAAAGUCCUGGGUUCAAUCCCCAGUACCUCCA